rnacentral:rRNA from 1 species
UACGGAGGGUGCAAGCGUUAUCCGGAUUCACUGGGGUUUUAAAGGGUGCGUAGGCGGGCAGGUAAGUCAGUGGUGAAAAUCUCCCGGGCUUAACCCGGAAACUGCCAUUGAUACUAUCUGUCUUUGAAUAUGGUGGAGGUAAGCGGAAUAUGUCAUGUAGCGGUGAAAUGCUUAGAGAUGACAUAGAACACCUAUUGCGAAGGCAGCUUACUACGCCUAUAUUGACGCUGAGGCACGAAAGCGUGGGGAUCAAACAGG